CCCGUCUCCCCUUUGGCUGGGCUGGGCUCCCCCUUGGCUGGGCUCGGCUCCCCCUUGGCUGGGCGUGGCUCCACAAUGGCUCUGCCCUUGCUUGUGAAAUCCAUAGAUUAGGGCCAAAUGUAUUUAUUUCAAUUGACUGAUUUCCUUAUAUGAACUGUAACUCAGUAAAAUCAUUGAAAUUGUUGCAUGUUGCAUUUAUAUUUUUGUUCAGUAUAGUUUGCAUGUUUAACAGUCACUCCCCAGAGCUCAGAAUGUUCCUGACUUUGCCUUGUUUACCAACCCUCAGUGCCAAUAGUCACUGUGUUUGACAAGCUGCCUUCUCUUCACACCAGGGAUGUGUGUCUAAGGCCAUUACUGUCUCUCCUCAACCUCAUAGGAAUUCAUGUGGGUCGGGUUUGUUUGGGUUGUUGCAGGUUAGGCAAAUUUGUAUAAUGAGCCUGUGUUACUGUGGGUUGUGGAUUUUUUUGAGGAAGUCAUUCUCUCCAGACACCACUGUCACAGUAAGCAGAAGGAUCUGUUUAGUGACGCCAAAUAACCUCCUAGAGAAUCCACCAGCAGUACACAUGGCACGCAGCACACAGCACACCCACACACACAAUACUUGGGUGUUAUAUUUGAUUGUAUAUAGAUUAAGUAGAUGUUUAUUAGUCUCUCUCUCUCUCUCUCACAAUCUCUCUCUCUCUACAGGUGAUCUUGGACACUGAGUCAGGCUAGGCAGCUUUGGGCUGAUGUUAGCUGGUCAGGGUGCCGGCCCUGUGGGCACCAUGAGGCGAGGGACCAGCCUGCAGAGCCGGCGCAGUAAGGGGACAGGGGGGAACGGGACAGGGGCCGGAGUAGGAGACCGGGACCCCUCUCUGAGAGGCAGCCCCCAGGCCCCCCAGCGCCGGCCUACCUACGAUGCACAGCAGCAUUCCGUCCGCCCGCGCUCCUCCUCCACCACUGACAACACCACACCAAGUAGCCCUUCCCUUGGUUACCACCCUGGAUACGUGACGCCAGGCGACGUGGUGCUAUCGUCAGGAUACCAGUCCACGGAGGAGACAGAGAGGGUGAGUGAUGUCAGCUGUCAAUCAUAUGAGGGUCUUCUUUGGUCAGGGUUUAUGGUCAUGUUUUGUCUGGUAAUGGAUAUGAUACAGUCCUGUCGUACUCAGCUGGUCUGCAUCAUCCAACAGGCCUGCUCUUAAAUAUUGAGGAGACCUUAAGCUCUGUGUUUGGAGUAUGACAAAUUUUGUAGGUGUAAUAAUGUCCAGUAAUGCUCCUGAGCAGAGGCAGUGUUAAUCCAGGCUCAGGUCAGAGGUACAUACACAAACACACACACACACACGCAAAUACUUGGGCCUACUCAGAUCAGUCAGAAACAGGUAUUCCUGGGUCCCGGCUACCCGAAGACUGUAUUGGCACCCUUGAUGGCCGAAGAGCUCUAUUUUCAAGUCCUCCAACAAAUGUAAAUGCCUGGAGUUUGCUAAAGGGUAUUGCCACUUGGAUUGGAACCGUUGCUAUGGUCAGAUGACAUGAAAAUAGAGCUCUAUGGCCAUGCACACCAGUGGUGGGAUUUGCGUCAGAAGAAAUAUGUAAAUGCAGAAAGAACCCCAUACCUACUGUAAAAUAGGUUAGUGGAUCUUUGAUUUAAUGGGCCUAUUUUGAUCGAUUUGUCCUGGGGUCCUUAACGUCAACUGAAUCAUGAACUUUACCAAGUACCCGGUACUUUCAGCCAAAAACCUGGUUGCCUCUGCCAGGAGGCUGAAACUUGACUGCAAGUGGAUCUUCCAGCAAGACAAUAACCCCAAGCACACAUUAAAAUCCACAAAGAAAUGGUUAAUUGGCCACAAAAUUAACAUUUUGCAAUGGCCAUCUCAGUCUCCGGACUUGAACCCCAUUGAAAACCUGUGGUUUAAAUUGAAGAGGGCAGUCCAUAAGAGCAGACGGAGGAUAUCAAGGACCUGGAAAGAUUCUGUAUGGAGGAAUGGUCUAAGAUCCUCCUAAUGUGUUCUCCAAUCUCAUAAAACAUGACAGAAAAAGGUUCAGUGCCAUGAUCCUCGCAAGCUGAGCUAUUGAAAGGUAUUGAAAAUAGGGGUGCCAAUAGUUUUGACCCAUAUCUUUUUGAGAAGAUAAAUGAUUACUUGUUAAAGAAAAUCUGUUCUCUGACUAAUUUGUAUAAGUAUAAAACAAUAUAAUUUCCCCCCCCAAAAAAUCAUCCAAUCUAUCUCAGUAUUUGUAUUAUUCAUUGUAUGCCGUCUUUUUUGCUCAUCUUCAUCAAGAGUGCAGAUCAUUUCGGAUAUGACUCUACAUCUGGAUCGACCCAUCUGCUUGAUAUACGUUAUCCUAGCAAGAAAGCCAAACACCCCUCUCAGGAUGUUUGAGAAUGGUAUGUUCAAGUGUAAUUGUUGUCAUGUAGUCAACAGAAGCUGUCUCUUAGAUCGGAUCAAUUUUCUGCACAGGGCUGCUCAGAUUCUGUCAUUUUUAACAUGAUAUGAGACGUGUGAUGAUGAAUUAUCCCCCGGAGGAAGAACUAGUGCUGAAUGUUCUAGAAACUCUGUCCAUCACCAUAAUGUAUCAAGGAGAGCUCCUGGUGUUGUAGGAGCACUGAGAAUGAACGAGAAUGUCUGUCAUUCUGUGGGAAAAGGAAAUGCUUGGCAUGCUAGGGCAAGAUGUGUGUGUGUUGUCCUCCUUUUCAGUAUGUCUGUAUGUUCUCAGAGAGGGGAUGCUAGUCCAUCUGUGGUAAGAGAUGCAUUGAGAUGUGGUGGAUAUCUGUACCAGACACUGCUAUCACCACACACACACACACACACACACACACACACACACACACACACACACACACACAAAGGACAGAGCUCUGUAACAAAGGAAGGCUGACAAAGAGGAAGUGCAUACAUUAUUCUCUAGCUUAUCUAGCAUGCUAUGUUCUUUUUAUACCCUCUGGUAAAGUAGUCUCUCUUAUUUUUUAUUUAACCUUUAUUUAACUAGGCAAGUCAGUUAAUAACAAAUUAUUAUUUACAAUUUCCUGGCCUACACCGGCCAAACCCGGACAAUGCUGGGCCAAUUGUGCACCGCCCUAUGGGACUCCCAAUCACGGCCGGUUGUGAUACAGCCUUGAUUCAAACCUGGAUGUCUGUAGUGACGCCUCUAGCACUGAGAUGCAGUGCCUUAGACCACUGCGCCAGGUGAAAACUGUGCCCAUUUGUGUUCACGUAACUUUAUCCAACAGAUGCCUUUGGUUGGGGCACCAUGCCAGAUUAUUUUGUCAUUCAACAACACUACUUAUUGUUGCCAAGACAAGACAGACACUUUGACUAAAAUAGAUACAGACUGGCACCGGUAGGAGAAUAUUGAUUUUCAGCCUUGCUCUUCUCUUGGUCAGAUGACAGUGGUUUAGUAUGAAGAUAUGCAGAAACUGCUUCUCCAAUAGAAAUCUCUGGUCACGCUUGUAGGCGAUGUCAUGGCAAUAGUUGGCUAGCUAAACUCAUGCAGAGAAACACGUCACCAGGUCCAACGGUCGUCUUGCACCUAACUGCACAUGCGCAGACCAUCAAAUCAAAGGAACUCCUUCGAUAUAAAGCAGUUUUUUACGAUUGCUUACACACUAAAAAUGAACUUUUCCCAACAAUUAGCAAAACCUUACACUCAAGGAGCAAAACACAAGGCUAGAUUUGCACAACUGUACGCACAUUGUCAGCUUCACACUAUUUGCAAAACAUUACACACAGUGAUUUGUAAAACACUAAACACACUUGUAUACAUCAGACACAGAAGUAUAUCAUGAUGUCACUUCCUUGCAAUUCCAAAGCACUGACUGUCAAAUUACCACACCUAUGAGCCAAUCUGUUAAACACAGCCAUCAGGUGCACAAACACAUGACUGCUAAAUUGUAGACACACCAGUCAGGUUUAAGCACUAUACAAAUGCAGCAGGUAGGUUCACCUGCCUUCAACCAAAAUGGAAGGAGUCAGAAGAAGAGUGAGGGUGAGAGGAGGAGUACGGAGAAGGAGGUAGAGGUAGAGGAAGAGGCCGAGCCAGAGGUCGAGGAAGACCUGAAGCAGGAGGAGAACGUGUACAAAGAAGAAGAGGACCAAACUUAUCAAAUGACACUCGUGCAACACUAGUGGACCAUGUUGUGAACCACGGAUUGACGCUGAGGGAGGAUGGACUGAGAGUUCAGCCAAAUCUUAGCAUAAGGACUUUUCGACAGGAAAACAGGUAAAGUGUUUUAGGUUAGUCAUCAGCCGCUUACUGUAUGCACCAUAUCAGCACUUGUGAUAUCCCUUCCUGUGACAUUGUACAGUAAGUUACAUGUAUUAUUCUCUACAUAGGAUUGAGGGUCGGGAACGACAAGGAAGAAGGGGGACCAUAUUCACGCAAGAACAAGAGAGAGAUAAUAAACAUGGUUUUGGCCAAUAAUGCUAUCAGGCUCAGAGAACUACAAGACAACAUUAUCGGUGACCAUGCCAUUUUCAAUAAUGUCCAUCAGGUCUCUCAGUCAACACUGGCACGCAUCCUGAAAAGGCAUCAGGUUCAAAUGAAACAACUUUAUCGAGUGCCUUUUGAGCGGAGUUCAGAGAGGGUCAAACGGCUGUGGCAUGAGUAUGUGGAGGUUUGUAUUGUUCACUUUAGCACUAUGAUGUUGCAUA
ensembl:lncRNA